GUGAACGCUGGCGGUAGGCCUAACACAUGCAAGUCGAACGGCAGCACAGUAAGAGCUUGCUCUUACGGGUGGCGAGUGGCGGACGGGUGAGGAAUACAUCGGAAUCUACUUUUUCGUGGGGGAUAACGUAGGGAAACUUACGCUAAUACCGCAUACGACCUACGGGUGAAAGCAGGGGAUCUUCGGACCUUGCGCGAUUGAAUGAGCCGAUGUCGGAUUAGCUAGUUGGCGGGGUAAAGGCCCACCAAGGCGACGAUCCGUAGCUGGUCUGAGAGGAUGAUCAGCCACACUGGAACUGAGACACGGUCCAGACUCCUACGGGAGGCAGCAGUGGGGAAUAUUGGACAAUGGGCGCAAGCCUAAUCCAGCCAUACCGCGUGGGUGAAGAAGGCCUUCGGGUUGUAAAGCCCUUUUGUUGGGAAAGAAAAGCAGCAGGUUAAUACCCCGCUGUUCUGACGGUACCCAAAGAAUAAGCACCGGCUAACUUCGUG
rnacentral:rRNA from 1 species